GGGACGGGUGAGUAAUGUCUGGGAAACGUGCCUGAUGGAGGGGGAUAAUAACUGGAAACGGUAGCUAAUACCGCAUAACGUCGCAAGACCAAAGAGGGGGACCGUUCGGGCCUCUUGCCAUCGGAUGUGCCCAGAUGGGAUUAGCUAGUAGGUGGGGUAACGGCUCACCUAGGCGACGAUCCCUAGCUGGUCUGAGAGGAUGACCAGCCACACUGGAACUGAGACACGGUCCAG
rnacentral:rRNA from 1 species